AACGAACGCUGGCGGCAUGCCUAACACAUGCAAGUCGAACGAGACCUUCGGGUCUUGUGGCGCACGGGUGCGUAACGCGUGGGAACCUGCCCUUAGGUUCGGAAUACCUCCCCGAAAGGGGUGCUAAUACCGGAUAAUGUCUUCGGACCAAAGAUUUAUCGCCUUUGGGUGGGCCCGGGUUGGAUUCGCUGGUUGGUAGGGUAAAAGCAUACCAAGGAGACGAUGCAUAGCUGGUCGGAGAGGAUGACAAGCCACACUGGAACUGAGACACGGCCCAGACUCGUACGGGAGGGAGCAGAGGGGAAUAUUGGACAAGGGGCGAAAGCCUGAUCCAGCAAUGCCGCGUGAGUGAUGAAGGCCUUAGGGUUGUAAAGCUCUUUUACCCGGGAUGAUAAUGACAGUACCGGGAGAAGAAGCACCGGCUAACUCCGUG
rnacentral:rRNA from 1 species